GACGAACGCUGGCGGCGUGCUUAACACAUGCAAGUCGAACGGAAAGGCCCUGCUUUUGUGGGGUGCUCGAGUGGCGAACGGGUGAGUAACACGUGAGUAACCUGCCCUUGACUUUGGGAUAACUUCAGGAAACUGGGGCUAAUACCGGAUAGGAGCUCCUGCUGCAUGGUGGGGGUUGGAAAGUUUCGGCGGUUGGGGAUGGACUCGCGGCUUAUCAGCUUGUUGGUGGGGUAGGGGCUUACCAAGGCUUUGACGGGUAGCCGGCCUGAGAGGGUGACCGGCCACAUUGGGACUGAGAUACGGCCCAGACUCCUACGGGAGGCAGCAGUGGGGAAUAUUGCACAAUGGGCGGAAGCCUGAUGCAGCAACGCCGCGUGCGGGAUGACGGCCUUCGGGUUGUAAACCGCUUUCGCCUGCGACGAAGCGUGAGUGACGGUAAUGGGUAAAGAAGCACCGGCUAACUACGUG
rnacentral:rRNA from 1 species